AAAUUGAAGAGUUUGAUCAUGGCUCAGAUUGAACGCUGGCGGCAGGCCUAACACAUGCAAGUCGAACGGUAACAGGAAGCAGCUUGCUGCUUCGCUGACGAGUGGCGGACGGGUGAGUAAUGUCUGGGAAACUGCCUGAUGGAGGGGGAUAACUACUGGAAACGGUAGCUAAUACCGCAUAACGUCGAAAGACCAAAGAGGGGGACCUUAGGGCCUCUUGCCAUCGGAUGUGCCCAGAUGGGAUUAGCUUGUUGGUGGGGUAAUGGCUCACCAAGGCGACGAUCCCUAGCUGGUCUGAGAGGAUGACCAGCCACACUGGAACUGAGACACGGUCCAGACUCCUACGGGAGGCAGCAGUGGGGAAUAUUGCACAAUGGGCGCAAGCCUGAUGCAGC
rnacentral:rRNA from 1 species